CACUGCUCCAAGGUAGAAGCUGAACUCGCCCUCCCCUCCGGCUUCAGUUUCCCACUGAGUUCCCUGGGCCCCCCUCCUCUCAUUACCCAGUAAAGGCCGCUGGGGCAAAGAGGCCCUUUUCAAAGGGGUAUCAGACCACACCUCACUGUCGUCAAAUGAACAAGCAAUCUCUUUCUUGCCUUUCUCCUCUCCUGCAGAACAAAGUUGCAUUUAAAAGGAAAAACAGUCUCAGGUUUUGUGUCCGGAACAGAGAGAAGGUCCCAGGGGCACAGACUCGGGAACACAGAGUGGCCGAUUCCCCAGGAUGGCUCUCACCAACAGUGACGAGGUGUGGAGGGACGAGGCAGACAAAGCUCAAGGCCAAGCCUGACAGCAGACACAGGGUGGCCUGUCGUUCUGGGUCCCAUGGCCUGGAGAGUCACGGGCAGCUAUCGAAUUCUGCUCAACCACAUCGUGUAGCCUAUCUUUCUCUAGAUUUUCCGCAGUACGGAAUUCUCUGCCAAUGCUCCAGAAAUAACGAUGACCACCAAACAUAGCCCAGACCGCGCUUCCUUUCCUGGUAUUGCACGUCUGUCUCCAGGCUCAGCUCAGGACAUGGACACAAGUGGGCUACCUCAGAACACGGCAUUGAUGCUCAAUUCCGUGAGGACAGCUGGCUACUGUGGCUGGAAGUGACCCAGGGGAGGACUUCUUAGGACCUUCCAGAGCACACAGCUUACAACAGGGCCAGCUUUUAGAUGGGAUUCAACUGGCCUGCAGAGAUGGCCUGGUCUUGGGGAGUGACAGUAUCCUCCUUCUCAGAGGAUGGCUUGUGGGCAAUCAAUCUCUACCCCUAACACCAAGCAGAGGCACUGUCCCACAAGAGACAUUAAAACAAGUGAUGGGUGGA